GAUGAACGCUGGCGGCGUGCCUAAUACAUGCAAGUCGAGCGGUAAGGCCCCUUCGGGGGUACACGAGCGGCGGACGGCUGAGUAACACGUAGGAACGUACCCCAAAGUGAGGGAUAAGCACCAGAAAUGGUGUCUAAUACCGCAUGUGCUCUAAGGAGUAAAGCUUCGGCGCUUUGGGAACGGCCUGCGCAUGAUUAGCUUGUUGGUGAGGUAAUGGCUCACCAAGGCGACGAUCAGUAGCUGGUCUGAGAGGACGAUCGGCCACACUGGGACUGAGACACGGCCCAGACUCCUACGGGAGGCAGCAGUGGGGAAUAUUGCACAAUGGGCGCAAGCCUGAUGCAGCAACGCCGCGUGAGGGAUGACGGCCUUCGGGUUGUAAACCUCUUUUAGUAGGGAAGAAGCGAAAGUGACGGUACCUGCAGAAAAAGCACCGGCUAACUACGUGCCAGCCGCCGCCGUAAAAC
rnacentral:rRNA from 1 species